rnacentral:rRNA from 1 species
UACGGAGGGGGCUAGCGUUGUUCGGAAUUACUGGGCGUAAAGCGCACGUAGGCGGAUUGGAAAGUUGGGGGUGAAAUCCCGGGGCUCAACCCCGGAACUGCCUUCAAAACUCCCAGUCUGGAGGUCGAGAGAGGUGAGUGGAAUUCCGAGUGUAGAGGUGAAAUUCGUAGAUAUUCGGAGGAACACCAGUGGCGAAGGCGGCUCACUGGCUCGAUACUGACGCUGGGGUGCGAAAGCGUGGGGAGCAAACAGG